UACGAGGGGUGCAACCGUUAUUCGGAAUCAUUGGGCGUAAAGGGCGCGUAGGCGGCGCGGUAAGUCAAAGGUGAAAUCCCUCGGCUCAACUGAGGAACUGCCUUUGAAACUGCCGUGCUUGAGUCCGGGAGGGGGUAGCGGAAUUCCCAGUGUAGCGGUGAAAUGCGCAGAUAUCAGGAGGAACACCGGUGGCGAAGGCGGUUCUCUGGGCAUUACCUGACGCUGAGGAGCGAAAGUGUGGGGAGCGAACAGG
rnacentral:rRNA from 1 species